rnacentral:rRNA from 1 species
GAUGAACGCUGGCGGCGUGCCUAAUACAUGCAAGUCGAGCGAACGGACGAGAAGCUUGCUUCUCUGAUGUUAGCGGCGGACGGGUGAGUAACACGUGGAUAACCUACCUAUAAGACUGGGAUAACUUCGGGAAACCGGAGCUAAUACCGGAUAAUAUUUUGAACCGCAUGGUUCAAAAGUGAAAGACGGUCUUGCUGUCACUUAUAGAUGGAUCCGCGCUGCAUUAGCUAGUUGGUUAGGUAACGGCUUACCAAGGCAACGAUGCAUAGCCGACCUGAGAGGGUGAUCGGCCACACUGGAACUGAGACACGGUCCAGACUCCUACGGGAGGCAGCAGUAGGGAAUCUUCCGCAAUGGGCGAAAGCCUGACGGAGCAACGCCGCGUGAGUGAUGAAGGUCUUCGGAUCGUAAAACUCUGUUAUUAGGGAAGAACAUAUGUGUAAGUAACUGUGCACAUCUUGACGGUACCUAAUCAGAAAGCCACGGCUAACUACGUGCCAGCAGCCGCGGUAAUACGUAGGUGGCAAGCGUUAUCCGGAAUUAUUGGGCGUAAAGCGCGCGUAGGCGGUUUUUUAAGUCUGAUGUGAAAGCCCACGGCUCAACCGUGGAGGGUCAUUGGAAACCGGAAAACUUGAGUGCAGAAGAGGAAAGUGGAAUUCCAUGUGUAGCGGUGAAAUGCGCAGAGAUAUGGAGGAACACCAGUGGCGAAGGCGACUUUCUGGUCUGUAACUGACGCUGAUGUGCGAAAGCGUGGGGAUCAAACAGGAUUAGAUACCCUGGUAGUCCACGCCGUAAACGAUGAGUGCUAAGUGUUAGGGGGUUUCCGCCCCUUAGUGCUGCAGCUAACGCAUUAAGCACUCCGCCUGGGGAGUACGACCGCAAGGUUGAAACUCAAAGGAAUUGACGGGGACCCGCACAAGCGGUGGAGCAUGUGGUUUAAUUCGAAGCAACGCGAAGAACCUUACCAAAUCUUGACAUCCUUUGACAACUCUAGAGAUAGAGCCUUCCCCUUCGGGGGACAAAGUGACAGGUGGUGCAUGGUUGUCGUCAGCUCGUGUCGUGAGAUGUUGGGUUAAGUCCCGCAACGAGCGCAACCCUUAAGCUUAGUUGCCAUCAUUAAGUUGGGCACUCUAAGUUGACUGCCGGUGACAAACCGGAGGAAGGUGGGGAUGACGUCAAAUCAUCAUGCCCCUUAUGAUUUGGGCUACACACGUGCUACAAUGGACAAUACAAAGGGCAGCGAAACCGCGAGGUCAAGCAAAUCCCAUAAAGUUGUUCUCAGUUCGGAUUGUAGUCUGCAACUCGACCACAUGAAGCUGGAAUCGCUAGUAAUCGUAGAUCAGCAUGCUACGGUGAAUACGUUCCCGGGUCU